ensembl:snRNA U6 U6 spliceosomal RNA
GUGCUCGCUUCAGUAGCACAUAUACUAAAAUUGGAAUGAUACAGGGAAGAUUAGCAUGGCCCCUACGCAAGGAUGACAUGCAAAUUAGUGAAGCAUUCCAUAUUUCU